ACGGGUGAGUAACGCGUAGGUAAUCUGCCUUAAGGUCUGAGAUAACCCACCGAAAGGUGAGCUAAUAUCGGAUAAUGCAGCGGCUCCGCAUGGAGACAGUUGUUAAAGCUUCGGCGCCCUAAGAUGAACCUGCGUCCCAUUAGACUGUUGGCGGGGUAACGGCCCACCAAAUCUACGAUGGGUAGCUGGUCUGAGAGGAUGGUCAGCCACACUGGAACUGAGACACGGUCCAGACUCCUACGGGAGGCAGCAGUAAGGAAUAUUGCUCAAUGGCCGAAAGGCUGAAGCAGCAACGCCGCGUGAGGGAUGAAGACCUUUUGGUUGUAAACCUCUGUAGUGAGAGAAAAAUGCUCCGCUCUGCGGAGAUUGAUGGUAUCUCAAAAGUAAGCCCCGGCUAACUACGUGCCAGCAGCCGCGGUAAUACGUAGGGGGCAAGCGUUGUCCGGAUUUACUGGGUGUAAAGGGUGCUCAGGUGGUCGGUCAAGUCAGACGUGAAAUUUCAAAGCUUAACUUUGAAACCGCAUUUGAUACUGUCCGGCUUGCGUACGGAAGAGGUUGAUGGAAUUCCUGGUGUAGCAGU
rnacentral:rRNA from 1 species